rnacentral:rRNA from 1 species
GACGAACGCUGGCGGCGUGCUUAACACAUGCAAGUCGAACGGUGAAGCGCCUUCCUUUUUGGUGGGUGUGGAUGAGUGGCGAACGGGUGAGUAACACGUGAGUAACCUGCCCCCUUCUUCUGGAUAACCGCAUGAAAGUGUGGCUAAUACGGGAUAUUCUGGGUCUGUCGCAUGAUGGGUCUGGGAAAGAUAUUGUUUCGGUGGGGGAUGGGCGCGCGGCCUAUCAGCUUGUUGGUGGGGUGAUGGCCUACCAAGGCGGUGACGGGUAGCCGGCCUGAGAGGGUGGACGGUCACACCGGGACUGAGACACGGCCCAGACUCCUACGGGAGGCAGCAGUGGGGAAUAUGGCACAAUGGGCGCAAGCCUGAUGCAGCGACGCCGCGUGAGGGAUGGAGGCCUUCGGGUUGUGAACCUCUUUCGCCAGUGAAGCAGGCCUGCCUCGUUUGUGGGUGGGUUGACGGUAGCUGGAUAAGAAGCGCCGGCUAACUACGUG